rnacentral:rRNA from 1 species
CACCGGCGGCUCGCGUGGUGGCCACUUUUAUUGGGUCUAAAGCGUCCGUAGCCGGCUUGGCAAGUCCCCUGGGAAAUCUGGCGGCUUAACCGUCAGGCGUCCAGAGGAUACUGCCAGGCUUGGGACCGGGAGAGGUGAGAGGUACCUCAGGGGUAGGGGUGAAAUCUUGUGAUCCCUGAGGGACCACCAGUGGCGAAGGCGUCUCACUAGAACGGGUCCGACGGUCAGGGACGAAAGCUGGGGGCACGAACCGG